GACGAACGCUGGCGGCGUGCCUAAUACAUGCAAGUAGGACGCAGUUGCGAACGGGUGAGUAACGCGUAGGUAACUACCUAUUAGAGGGGGAUAACUAUUGGAAACGAUAGCUAAUACCGCAUACUAGUAGAUGGACCUGCGUUGUAUUUGCUAGUAGGUAGGGUAAUGCCCUACCUAGGCAACGAUACAUAGCCGACCUGUGUGGGGGGUCGGUCACACGUGGACUGAGACAUGGCCCCAAACCCUACGGGGGGCAGCAGGAGGGAAUCUUCGGCAAUGGGGGGAACCCUGACCGAGCAACGCCGCGUUAGUGGAGAAGGUUUUCGGAUCGUAAAGCUCUGUUGUUAAGGAAGCGGUACUUAACCAGAAAGGGACGGCUAACUACGUGCCAGCCGCCGCGGUAAUUC
rnacentral:rRNA from 1 species